UACGUAGGGCGCAAGCGUUGUCCGGAAUUAUUGGGCGUAAAGAGCUCGUAGGCGGCUUGUCACGUCGGGUGUGAAAGCCCGGGGCUUAACCCCGGGUCGGCAUUCGAUACGGGCGGGCUAGAGUGUGGUAGGGGAGAUCGGAAUUCCUGGUGUAGCGGUGAAAUGCGCAGAUAUCAGGAGGAACACCGGUGGCGAAGGCGGAUCUCUGGGCCAUUACUGACGCUGAGGAGCGAAAGCGUGGGGAGCGAACAGG
rnacentral:rRNA from 1 species